UAAUAUUUUGUCAAAAGGGCGAACCUCUUUAGGAGAAUAUGGGGUCCUUGAUUGCAAGUAGGUUGUAAGAAGCACAAUAUAGUCCAAAUGAACUCAAAUAUAAAAAAGUAGCCCAAAAGCUGAAUAAAAAUUUUAGAUUAAUUUCUUUCUUAUACCAACAUGCAUCCAAUCCUUAACUCUAAUGUCAAAUCCAAUCCUCUUCUUACUAAAAUACU
rnacentral:lncRNA from 1 species